rnacentral:rRNA from 1 species
CAUUAGUUGCUACAUUCAGUUGGGCACUCUAAUGAGACUGCCGGUGACAAGCCGGAGGAAGUGGGGAUGACGUCAAGUCCUCAUGGCCCUUAUAGUGGGGCUACACACGUCAUACAAUGGCUGGUACAAAGGGUUGCCAACCCGCGAGGGGGAGCUAAUCCCAUAAAGCCAGUCGUAGUCCGGAUCGUAGUCUGCAACUCGACUACGUGAAGUCGGAAUCGCUAGUAAUCGUGGAUCAGAAUGUCACGGUGAAUACGUUCCCGGGUCUU